CGGGAAGAGCUCAAAUUUAUAAUCUGGCACCUUCGGUGUCCGAGUUGUAAUCUCUAGAAGUGUUUUCCGCGUUGGACCGCACACAAGUCUGUUGGAAUACAGCGGCAUAGUGGUGAAACCCCCGUAUAUGGUGCGGACGCCCAACGCUUUGUGAUACACUUUCAAUGAGUCGAGUUGUUUGGGAAUGCAGCUCAAAUUGGGUGGUAAAUUCCAUCUAAAGCUAAAUAUUGGCGAGAGACCGAUAGCGAACAAGUACCGUGAGGGAAAGAUGAAAAGCACUUUGGAAAGAGAGUUAACAGUACGUGAAAUUGUUGGAAGGGAAACGCUUGAAGUCAGACUUGCUUGCCGGAGCUUGCUUCGGUUUGCAGGCCAGCAUCAGUUUUCCGGGGUGGAUAAUAACGGUUUGAAGGUAGCAGUCUCGGCUGUGUUAUAGCUUUCCGUUGGAUACAUCCUGGGGGACUGAGGAACGCAGCGUGCUUUUUGCGAAAGACUCGUCUUUUUCACGCUUAGGAUGCUGGUGGAAUGGCUUUAAACGAC
rnacentral:rRNA from 1 species